UACGGAGGGUGCGAGCGUUGUCCGGAAUCACUGGGCGUAAAGGGCGCGUAGGCGGCCUGAUAAGUAGGGGGUGAAAUCCUGCGGCUUAACCGCAGGGCUGCCUUCUAGACUGUCAGGCUAGAGCACAGUAGAGGCAGGUGGAAUUCCCGGUGUAGCGGUGGGAUGCGUAGAGAUCGGGAAGAAUACCUGUGGCGAAGGCGGCCAGCUGGGCCAGAUCCGACACUGAGGCGCGAAAGCGUGGGGAGCAAACAGG
rnacentral:rRNA from 1 species